rnacentral:lncRNA from 1 species
AUCAAGGUGCCAACAAUCUUUCAUGUAUAAAAAAUUCCUUUCCUACUUUACAUCUUAUCUCUAAUUCAGAUCGCAUUCAAAUUAGGCAAGAGAUAAGAUUAUGACUCAUCAACUAUUGCUACCCACUCUUAUUAGACCCUCUAUUAUGAUGCCAAAAAUCACAACCCAAAUCUAAUUAGGCAUGGAGAAAUUGGCAUGGGUUCAG